rnacentral:rRNA from 1 species
GGCGGACGCCUAACACAUGCAAGUCGAGCGCUUCACUUCGGUGAGGAGCGGCGGACGGGUUAGUAACGCGUGGGAACAUACCCUUUUCUAAGGAAUAGCCACUGGAAACGGUGAGUAAUACCUNNUACGCCCCUCGGGGGAAAGAUUUAUCGGUGAAGGAUUGGCCCGCGUUAGAUUAGAUAGUUGGUGGGGUAAUGGCCUACCAAGUCGACGAUCUAUAGCUGGUUUGAGAGGAUGAUCAGCAACACUGGGACUGAGACACGGCCCAGACUCCUACGGGAGGCAGCAGUGGGGAAUCUUAGACAAUGGGCGCAAGCCUGAUCUAGCGAUGCCGCGUGAGUGAUGAAGGCCUUAGGGUCGUAAAGCUCUUUCGCCAGGGAUGAUAAUGACAGUACCUGGUAAAGAAACCCCGG